GAUAAACAAGAGUAAGCUUAUAUUGUAAUAAAGGAUUGGCCGGGCACGGUGGCCCACGCCUAUAAUCCCAACACUUUGGGAGGCUGAGGCGGGUGGAUCACCUGAGGUCAGGAGUUCGAGACCAGCCUGGCCAACAUGACCACAAAGUCAAUAUUCACCAAUAUGGCGAGGAAGGUUUUAGCACUGGUAGAAGCAUAAGCAGCCACAUCCAGUAAGGGGGUAGGGGCCAUGCCCCACACUCUGGCCUGACCUGUUUUAUAAUCCCAGCUACUCGGGAGCAGGAGAAUCGCUUGAACCCAGGAGGCAGAGGUUGCAGUGAGCUGAGAUCAUGCCCCUGCACUCCAGCCUGGGCAAUAGAGUAAGGCUCUGUCUCAAAAAAAUUAAUUAAUUAAUUAAUUAAAAAAAAAAAUAUAUAUAUAUGUAUAUGCACCUGGGAGCCUUGAUGUAGGACUCUGUGUAACAGCUGCAUUGUAGGGGAUGGCUCAGACCUGAGCUCCACACCAGGGUUCUCAGCUCCCACCCCAAGUGUUGACCUGGGGAUCUGCCAGGGGACAGCCUUUGGGACCCUUUCCCCGACUCUUCUGACAUUUCCUUUACAGGAAAAGCAGAGCAGAAUAUGUAACUCAUUUCAUUUCCUUAAGUACUCUC
rnacentral:lncRNA from 10 species